rnacentral:rRNA from 1 species
AGGCAGCAGUGGGGAAUAUUGGACAAUGGGCGCAAGCCUGAUCCAGCCAUGCCGCGUGUGUGAAGAAGGCCUUCGGGUUGUAAAGCACUUUUGUUGGGGAAGAAAAGAUUCGGGUUAAUAACCUGGGUUCAUGACGGUACCCAAAGAAUAAGCACCGGCUAACUUCGUGCCAGCAGCCGCGGUAAUACGAAGGGUGCAAGCGUUACUCGGAAUUACUGGGCGUAAAGCGUGCGUAGGCGGUUUGUUAAGUCUGUCGUGAAAGCCCCGGGCUCAACCUGGGAAUGGCGGUGGAUACUGGCAGGCUAGAGUACGGUAGAGGAUGGUGGAAUUCCCGGUGUAGCAGUGAAAUGCGUAGAGAUCGGGAGGAACAUCUAUGGCGAAGGCAGCCAUCUGGACCAGUACUGACGUUGAGGCACGAAAGCGUGGGGAGCAAACAGGAUUAGAUACCCUGGUAG